rnacentral:rRNA from 1 species
UACGAAGGGGGCUAGCGUUGCUCGGAAUCACUGGGCGUAAAGCGCACGUAGGCGGCUUUUUAAGUCAGGGGUGAAAUCCUGGAGCUCAACUCCAGAACUGCCUUUGAUACUGAGAAGCUUGAGUCCGGGAGAGGUGAGUGGAACUGCGAGUGUAGAGGUGAAAUUCGUAGAUAUUCGCAACAACACCAGUGGCGAAGGCGGCUCACUGGCCCGGUACUGACGCUGAGGUGCGAAAGCGUGGGGAGCAAACAGG